UACGUAGGCAGCAAGCGUUGUUCGGAGUUACUGGGCGUAAAGGGUGCGUAGGCGGCUUUUUAAGUUUGGUGUGAAAUCUCCCGGCUCAACUGGGAGGGUGCGCCGAAUACUGAGAGGCUAGAGUGUGGGAGAGGAAAGUGGAAUUCCAGGUGUAGCGGUGAAAUGCGUAGAUAUUGGGAGGAACACCAGUGGCGAAGGCGGCUCACUGGACCGGUACUGACGCUGAUGCGCGAAAGCGUGGGGAGCAAACAGG
rnacentral:rRNA from 1 species